GAACACAUCUCCAUUGGAGCAUUGAACACAUCUCCAUUGGAGCAUUGAACACAUCUCCAUUGGAGCAUUGAACACAUCUCCAUUGGAGCAUUGAACACAUCUCCAUUGGAGCAUUGAACACAUCUCCAUUGGAGCAUUGAACACAUCUCCAUUGGAGCAUUGAACACAUCUCCAUUGGAGCAUUGAACACAUCUCCAUUGGAGCAUUGAACACAUCUCCAUUGGAGCAUUGAACACAUCUCCAUUGGAGCAUUGAACACAUCUCCAUUGGAGCAUUGAACACAUCUCCAUUGGAGCAUUGAACACAUCUCCAUUGGAGCAUUGAACACAUCUCCAUUGGAGCAUUGAACACAUCUCCAUUGGAGCAUUGAACACAUCUCCAUUGGAGCAUUGAACACAUCUCCAUUGGAGCAUUGAACACAUCUCCAUUGGAGCAUUGAACACAUCUCCAUUGGAGCAUUGAACACAUCUCCAUUGGAGCAUUGAACACAUCUCCAUUGGAGCAUUGAACACAUCUCCAUUGGAGCAUUGAACACAUCUCCAUUGGAGCAUUGAACACAUCUCCAUUAAAGGCAAUAUCUCACCAGACCAAGGCAUUAAAAGCUUAAAAUUUCAUUAUGAAAAGCUUCUUACAUUGAGUUCACUAGUAUUGUGUAUAAACAAGACAAAUUCCUUGGCCUUUCUCUGUAUCCAUAAUUUUAAGUUUAUGGGAAUUUUGGAAUGUCCCCAGAUUUAAAGUAAAGAACCAGAUAUGGAUUUUAAAAUGUAAGAUUUGUAGCCUACAUUCUUUGUCCAUUCCCUCAAUAUUAGUUGACAAGUAAUGAAUUAAAGAAGAGGUUGUCACACUUUUCUACUGUAUUGGAAGUAAUAUUAUGGAAUGAAAUGCAAGUGUUUUUCGCAAGGCAGCUUUUAUUUUCAUAUUUUUUGUAAAUAUUUUAUCUUCAUUUUGUUUUAAAAAUGAAAAUGUAUCCGCAAGAAUAUUUCAGUUGGUUGAAGGAUUAGAAAAAAUAAUGAAGAUUUAGAAAAUUUGAUAGAAUAAAUGAGUUGUGAUAUUGAGAACUGAGAAUGAACUGUUUAUGUAAUCCAUCCUAAGUGUAUUGUCAUGUUCAAAGUAUUGGAUGUCAUUUUCUUCUUCCACUAUGGUGUAACCUAGUGGUCCAUCAUAGUUAGCCUUAACACAUAUUAGGCAGCCAAGUGUUUUUCCCCUUGAAACCACAAUGUGGAAUGUUAGAGCAUGUUUGUAUCAUUUUCAGUUACAUUUUAUUCCCCAUAUUGACAGGAAAUGUUUAUCGUAUUAAAAAAAACAACAAAUGCCAGUAUAAACAAUUAAAGCUGAACAGCUUUCAAAGUAAAUCUGAUAUGUGAAAAUGUAUAAAGGUAUCUAGUUUGAUUUGUACAUUUAGAGUCUUGGAUGAAGUUGUAGAAACUAAAGAAUAACAUGUGUAGUUAAUUUGUGUUAUGCAUUUGAUGUUCAUUGCUUUGAUGUAUUCUUUAUAUAUAAAAUAUUUUUAAAUUUAUAUAUUUUAUGCAUGUUUUAAUAUGAACGUGAUCUGAAUGGGCUUUAAAUCAAUGUUGUCUGCCAGGUUUGCCAAACAGUGGGCCACCAGUUAGAAGUUUCUAUCCUCAUCAAUAUUAAUUCUGAUAGAUAAAAAUUCUCUCCAUACUUUCCAAAUUUCGGUCCAGGUAUUAGAUAUGAAAUAGAAUUUAAUCAAUUUAAAAAAUUAAGUGAUUCAGGAAUGUCGACAGUAAGGAAGUCUACUACUACAACCAUUUUAACUGAAUCAUUUUGUUUUGGAAAUAGCUGGCCAGUUUGAUCCCACUGACAACUGGGUCAGUAGCAUGAUUGGAGUUUUCUAAUGAAUGACAGAGUGAAGAGUUAAAAUGUAUAGCCAGAAUGUGAAAUGUAAUGUACAUGUGUACUUCAGUGUAAAUAUAAAAUAAAAUUAUUUCAUGACA